rnacentral:lncRNA from 1 species
AUGUCUUAUGCCAGCGAUAUGUGUAAUAGCAAAGUUUUAGAAAGAACCAAAAGUACAGCAGCAAAGGAUUGCUGUAGAGGUCAUAGGAUAUUAUUAGACGUGAAAAUGGUUUUCGCGACGCAUUUGCAAUUACCCUGCAGAUGGUUAUGGCGCGUUGCUACACAAGUAAAGCAGAAGUCAGAUCGUACGACCUCAAUGAUAAAACACCAACAGGUAGUGCUAUGUGAACUGCGCGGCCAUCCUCACCAAGGACCCUGUUUCUGAAAUCAGAACACAGUCUGCAGAAGCUGGAGUUCCGUCUGCGGUGAGUUCCUCUAGCCUUUGGUGGUCGGCUCACUCUGAGAGAAGCGUGUAGGCUUGCACACCCUGUAUCAGAAGCUAAGAGUAGGUUCCUAUCUGGGCCAAUCCAAGACUGUGUUUAUUACUCUUUUUCCAAUUUCCGAUGACCUUGGAAAUUGUCCGGAAUUCCAACUGGUUGCGUGUCUUUGCUGGUCUGAAUUGCUCUCCCCUCCUCCUGCCUGUCCAGCUCACACAGGCCCCCUGGAAGCUGCUGCCUGAAUCCAGAGCACCUGAUGCCCUUGGGGAAUAAGAAAGGUGCCUUCCCCCCGGGGGCCCCGAAGUGCUGUGCGUGUUCUCCCAGGCAGAGUGUCACCGUCUCCUUUCUUGCCUCCCACACUAGACUCAGCUCUUUCUUCAUUUUUUUUUAAUGAGUUUAUUUAUUUAUUUGAGAGUGACAGCAAGAGAGAGAGAGAAAGAGCAAGAGGAGGGGCAAAGGGAGAGGGAGAAGCAGACUCCCUGCUGAGCAGGGAACUGGAAGGCAGGGGGCUCGAUCCCAAGACCCUGGAUCAUGACCUGAGCCGAAGGCAGAUGCCUAACCAACUGAGCCACCCAGACACCCCUAGACUAGACUCUUUGCUUUUAAGAAUAGGGCCUGCUUAAAAAAAAUAAAUAAAAUAAAUAAAAAAUAAAAUAAAAUAAAAUAAAAUAAAAUAAAAUAAAAUAAAAUAAAAAAGAAUAGGGCCUGCUUGACCUCACCUUCCCCAGGACUUAGAAGGGAGUGGGUUCACCAGGACAUCGAAUUCCUACUCUGUGGCUUACAAGGUCAUUCCUUUUUCCUGGAAACUGACUCCAGAACAUCCCCUGGCCUAUUGGGGUCUCUUAGCCUCACUGAGAGAAAUUUGGGGAAAAGUUGUGGAUUCCCAUCUGACCGUCGAGCGAGUGCUGGGGACUUUUGUCCUGGCCACGUGCCUCGGUAGAAGCAACUUUAUCUCUUCCAGAGGGAAACAGGCUGAGAUGACAUGAAAGGUCUUCUAGAAGCUUCUGGGGGAGGGACGCAGCAGGAGAGACAUCUGAGCUAGAAGUUCCUUCUGAGCCAACAGUCAGCUGAAUCUACUGUCAGCAGGUUCUCCUCCUCUCUGGGCUUGUCUUCAUCUGUGAAAUGUUCAGUCUGCACUUGGUGACCUCUCAGGUCCCUUCAGCGUGAGUCAGAGCUGGCGACCAUCACUGGAGCCCAGUGGGAGGAUGCCUCUGCCCAAAUACCCAGGGAACUCGAGCUGAUCCAGAAUGCCUGCGUGGGACGGCUCAGGGCUAGGCCUCUGUUAGUGGGACUUCCUGCUCUCUGGCCUUUGUCCCCAGAGCCCGUGGCACCUGCCAGGGGCCUUCAUCACUGGUGAGACUAGUGUGAGGGUUGGUGCUUUGGAUUCCUUUCUAAAAACAGAAAAUGGGGGUGCCUGGGUGGCUCCGUGGGUGCAGUGUCUGCCUCAGGCCCAGGCCGUGAUCUCGGGGUCCUGGGAUCAAGUCCUGCCUCCGGGCUCCCGGCUCAGCACGGAGCCUGCUUCUCCCUCUGCCUCUGCUGCUCCCCCUGUGUGCUCAAUCUCUCUCUCUCUCUCUCUGUUAAAUAAGUAAAUAAAUAAAUAAAUAAAUAAAUAAAUAAAUAAACAAACAAACAAAAUCCUAAAAAAAAAAAAAGGCCCCAAACCAGAAGGCAGACACUGCCCCGCCCCGCUCCAGCCCGGCACGUUCCUGGGGCUCAGCCCCCCUCACUGAGCCACCACGAGCCAGUGGGCGUCAAAUCCAGCAGGAAGAUGGGGCAUGAUUUACAAGAAGCACAUGUUCUUAAAGGUCCCUCAAAAUGUAGCUAGUUUGCAGCACUCAGGCUGCCGCGGGGUUGGAGGACGUCGUGUAGGAACAGGCACGUCCUGUGACAAAACGGGGGGGCUCCCGGCCUGCGGUUCCCUGGCCCAGGGCCCUGUGUGGCCUCUCACUAAUGCCGCCUGCAUUUUAAAGGGCAGAGUUUUGCUCCCCUCACCCCCCUCAAAACGACACGAAUAAUAUUCACCGCUCUCUUAGACGACGCAGGUGGC